UAGAGUUUGAUCCUGGCUCAGAUUGAACGCUGGCGGCAUGCCUUACACAUGCAAGUCGGACGGCAGCGCGGGAGCAAUCCUGGCGGCGAGUGGCGAACGGGUGAGUAAUACAUCGGAACAUGUCCAGUAGUGGGGGAUAGCCCGGCGAAAGCCGGAUUAAUACCGCAUACGAUCUAUGGAUGAAAGCGGGGGAUCGCAAGACCUCGCGCUAUUGGGGUGGCCGAUGGCGGAUUAGCUAGUUGGUGGGGUAAAGGCCUACCAAGGCGACGAUCCGUAGCUGGUCUGAGAGGACGACCAGCCCACUGGGACUGAGACACGGCCCAGACUCCUACGGGAGGCAGCAGUGGGGAAUUUUGGACAAUGGGGGCAACCCUGAUCCAGCAAUGCCGCGUGUGUGAAGAAGGCCUUCGGGUUGUAAAGCACUUUUGUCCGGGAAGAAAUCCCCGCCCUAAUACGGCGGGGGGAUGACGGUACCGGAAGAAUAAGCCCGGCUAACUCGUGCCAGCAGCCGCGGUAA
rnacentral:rRNA from 1 species